GUUACUAAUGCACUGGGGCAAAACUUGGUAAAGUAACACACAUGACCCGACCAGCAGUCACAACUUCUUAAUCAUGGCAUUGUCUCUCUGUGAUGUACAGGACCUGUUGGUGUGGAUACACAGGGAUCUGCAAAUUAAGAUAUCAUGAAAGUUUCAGGAUAACGAGAUCCAUUGACACCAAUUACCGUGGAUCAUGAACCAAUUGGACUACAUUAUCUAUGGAUCGAUAACAUGGGGCCAGCAGGUGAUCCAGGUCACAAUAGAGGUCAAGCAGUGGGAGGAGGAAGACGAGGAAGACGUAGUGGUCAAAGGAAUGGCAGGGGACAAGCACCGCUUCUGAGAGGUGGUCGUGGGCCUCGUUUGAGAGGUGUGAGGGAACAUGGUAGAGGACAAGACCAGGGACCAAGACAUCUGCAGCAAAAGCAAAGAGUGUCCAAUGAAAUCCGAGCAAUAGUUGUAGACCAUGUGGUAAAUCAUGGCAAAACAAUGACUGAGGCAGCUACAAUGAUUCCACCAAACCUCAGAAGAUCAAUCGUGGCCUCAAUCAUGAGAACUUUCCACAAUGAGAACUGAAUUGAGACUUGGCCAAAUAGUGGACGCAGAGGCAAAAUUCUGACUGACCAACAAGAGCGGGCUGUGGUCAAUUUAGUUCGGGCCAGAAAUUAUAAUCGCCUUACAGAAAUUCGGCAGAACAUCAUGGACUAUGAUGACAUGUUCAACAAUGUGGAAGCCAUAAGUUUGCAGACUAUUGCACGCAUGCUGAAAAGGCACCAGGCGUCUCUAAAACAGCUAUGCCGUGUGCCUUUUGAAAGAAAUGCAGACAGAGUGAAGCAACUGAGGACUGAAGGGUGAUGGAUCUGGAUGCUGAUGAAAACCUUCACAAAUUCCUCUUUUUGGAUGAGGCAGGCUUCAACCUGGCCAAGACAAGGAGGAAUUUCAUUGGCCAGAGGGCAACCAUCCAAGUACCUGGACAACGUGGGGCCAACAUCACCAUGUGUGCGGCUAUAUCGGAAGAUGGUGUGGUGGGACACAGACCUCGCAUUGGCUCAUAUAAUGCAGCUCUCCUUGUGUAACCUUCUUGAUGAGCUAAAUCAGGUCUGUAGAGAUGAUGGCGUGACCUAUGUCAUUGCGUGGGACAAUGUCAGGUUCCACCAUGCUCAAAUGGUGCAAGCAUGGUUUCAGGCCCAUCCACAAUUUACCACCCUGUACUUACCCCCAUACUCUCCUUUCCUUAACCCGAUUGAGGAAUUUUUCUCCACAUGGAGGCGGAAGGUAUAUGAUAGGCGCCCUCACGAACAAGCCACCCUUCUCCAGGCCAUGGAUGACACAUGCAAUGACAUCACGGCAGACCAGUGUCAGGCCUGGAUUCACCAUGCCCGAAGAUUCUUCCCAAGAUGCUUGGCCAAUGAAAACAUCCAUUGUGAUGUGGAUACGAACCUGUGGCCAAAUCCACAAUUGAUGGAAAUAUAGAAGUACAGUAAUCAAUACUUUGUUUUGCUUUUUACAGUAAGCCAGUUGACAUUUUACUGUAGUGUUUUUCUUUUUUGUAGCUAAUUAUUUUUGCUUUGAUUCAAGGAAACCUAUGUUGUGAUUUUAUUGUAUUUCAUCAAUAAAUUUCAGAUUUUGUUCAAUGAUUCCACUGUGUCUGUAGUAUUCUCUCUACUAGUCCUUUUACAGUGAAGUAUUUACGUGUAGUACCAUAAUGAAACACGUAUCACAUAUUUUGUACUACAAUAUUUUAUGAUUGUAUGAACAACUACACAGUGAAACUAUCGGCAUCUUGUGUGUGGGUGAUCUAAAUGAAUGUUCCUAUGGUAUUUCAUGAUAAUCGUUAUUUGAACCAAUGCAAGGUUUCUUUAAAGAUAUGAAGGCACAAUCCAUCUUUUUGAACAUUGGACAGCCUGUGUUACAAGUGAUGACCGUUUUGAGUUUUAUGUCUAGAGUUUUGAAAAAUGACCACAAGAUUCUGAAAUUAGUGCCAAAGGGAUUGUAAAAAACUGUAAAUAGCCAUCACUAAUUGGCUUCCACCCGGUUACGCAACCCUGCACCUUAGAGGCUGCUGCCCUAUAUACAUAUACUUGGAGUCACUGGCCACUUUAAACAUGGAACACUAGUCACUUUAAUAAUGUUUGAAUAGUGUUUACAUACUGCUUUACUCAUCUCAUAUGUAUAUACUGUAAUCUAUUGUACUGUAUUUUAGUUAAUGCCACUCCAACAUUGCUAAUUAUAUAUUUCUUAAUUACAUUAUUUUACUUUUAGAUGAGUGUGUAUUGUUGUGAAUUGUUAGAUAUUACUUUACUCUUGGAGCUAGAAACACAAGCCUUUCUCUACGCAGGGAUCCGGGGCCAUACUUCCCUUUUAGCUUUUUGCGUCUUUUCCCCACUAAAUGCUAAAUUGAACAUUUCUUUUGGAAAAGACAAUCACUCUAUUACUAAAAUAAUUGACUGUACUUUCUUCUAUUCUGUCACCUGUGCUAUAAACUAAUUUGUGUCACUUCACUCCUUCCAUAAUGCAAAAUAAAAUAUCUGUGGAGUCAAAAUCGAUAAAAACAGACACCUUAAAAUCACACUUCCGUCAAUAAAUGUCUCCCAUAUUCACA
rnacentral:lncRNA from 1 species